rnacentral:pre_miRNA from 1 species
CAUGUACUCCCUCCGUUUGGAAUUACUUGUCGUAGAAAUGGAUGUAUCUAGACAUUUUUUUAGAUCUAGAUACAUCUAUUUCUAUGACAAGUAAUUCGGAACGGAAGGAGUACGUA